CUUCAGCCAGUCCUGGGGCUGCCACUUCCCAGAGCACUGCCGGGUGUGCAGGCCAUGGGUGCCGCACCAGCUGCCUCAGGCUCAUGCCCACUGUUCUGUUGCAGGCACCAACCCCUUCCUCAGGUCGGUGCACCACUGUGUGACCUCCAGAAGUGUUGGAAUUACAGGCGUGAGCCGCCGCGCCCGGGCCCCUCUGUAAAGUUUUUAACAGAGGUGUGUCUGACCCUGCCUGGAGAGGAGAGGACUGGCCGAGUCAGCAUCUGAAAUGCUGCUGCCCUACGAGACAGGCAGACAGGGUCGGCAGUGCCCGGGGGCCACGCAGGUCUCCCUCUGGGAGGAGGGGACAGCUCAGCGUGGCAGGGCGGGCUUACUGUCCUGUGUUCCCCCUGAGCCCAGGCGUGUGCUG
rnacentral:lncRNA from 1 species